rnacentral:lncRNA from 1 species
CCUGCCCAUAGACCAGUCAUGAAACUUGUAGACCGACAUCCAGGCUACCUCGCCAUGGUGAAAUAUCAUCCAUGCCACAUCAGGAGGUCCUCCGUCCAAGCACGGCAAAGAGGCAUCGUGAUAAGAAAUAUGUGUAAUGUGUCCCACAUCGAAAGUGUGUUGUAAGUGGGAACCUUCCUAAUCUAUAAAGGAAGGGUUCCCCCUAAGUAGGAUCGAUCUUCUUCUCCCACCCAUGGCAACAUCUUGGAGACUCAUAAUCUUGUAACACUGCCAAAGGCAUUGAGGCCUCCCGAUAGUGAAUUCCAAGUGGACGUAGCCAUGCCCUCCGCCAGCAUGGUGAACCACUAUACGUCCUUGUCUCUUACCCAUGAUGCUUAUUGUUCAUGUUCGUGUUCCACCGUGAUUCUACAUGGUCCUCCGGGAUUAUGCAGAAACAUUUGGCGCCGUCUGUGGGAAUCAUUACAAAAAGUCACGUUGCUCCACCCGAGAGGCAUUCCAGUAAGCUCAUACAGGGAGGUCAACCCAAGGUAUCCAGUAUGUAGGCCUAAGCCAUCUCGGGCCCAACCCAUCAUGAGGUAACAUGUUGGCCUAAGCCACCAAGAGAGUGGCAUAACCCAGCCCGUCCGGGUUCCAUCUCUUAAGUCUCCUCUCUUGACUUCCAUGUGAUAGCAUCGGGACGUCGGAGAGCUAAGCCUCCCGCCCGGGUUCAUGACCGGAGCCUCCAACCGUCCCGGAGAGGAUUCAACGGGACCCGGAGCCUAGUCAUGUUGGCCGGGAGCUUCGCCGGUGACGGCCGGCUCCUCCCGUUGCCCCGGUCAUCUUCUUCUCCUGGAUGGCACCUCUCCUGGGACCCGGAGCUCAGUCACGUCGGCCGGGAGCUUCGCCGGUGACGGUCUGCUCCUCCCGCUGCCCGGUCGUCUUCUUCUCCCGGUGGUUACUCUCCCGGGCACCUAGCUCCCUUCCCGGUGGCUCAAGCUGGGCAGCAGUUCGGCAGCAGGUAGCCUCCGGGGUGACCUUGCCUCGGUCUCAGUGGCAGCAACCAGCCUUCCACUCUCCGGCUAGGGAAAGAAGAGGAAGUCAGUCCGGCCACCCAUCCUCUUGCUCUGGGCACCCAGCUUGGCAGCAGCCUUCGGGAGCCCGUAGAGAAAGGAAAGAAACGAAGAUGCAGAAGCAGAAAGAAGGAAGAUAAAAAAACAAAGAGAGAAAAAAAAAGGGAAGAAAGAAAGAAGGGGAAGAAAGGCAAAAGAGGGAAGAAAGAGAGAGAGAGAGAGAGAGAGAGAGAGAGAGAGGA